rnacentral:rRNA from 1 species
GACGAACGCUGGCGGCGUGCCUAAUACAUGCAAGUUGAGCGCUGAAGGUUGGUACUUGUACCGACUGGAUGAGCAGCGAACGGGUGAGUAACGCGUGGGGAAUCUGCCUUUGAGCGGGGGACAACAUUUGGAAACGAAUGCUAAUACCGCAUAAAAACUUUAAACACAAGUUUUAAGUUUGAAAGAUGCAAUUGCAUCACUCAAAGAUGAUCCCGCGUUGUAUUAGCUAGUUGGUGAGGUAAAGGCUCACCAAGGCGAUGAUACAUAGCCGACCGGAGAGGGCGAUCGGCCACAUUGGGACUGAGACACGGCCCAAACUCCUACGGGAGGCAGCAGUAGGGAAUCUUCGGCAAUGGACGAAAGUCUGACCGAGCAACGCCGCGUGAGUGAAGAAGGGUUUCGGAUCGUAAAACUCUGUUGGUAGAGAAGAACGUUGGUGAGAGUGGAAAGCUCAUCAAGUGACGGUAACUACCCAGAAAGGGACGGCUAACUACGUG